rnacentral:lncRNA from 1 species
GAAUUUGUAAUUGCAUUCAUCAUAUAUGUUUACAUCGGAUCAGUUCUCUGUUACUAUUAGCCAUGGCGACCAAGAUGCAUGGAGGAUCACCAAUUCACCAAGGUUGGCGUUACAUUUCGCUGCCGCCAGGCGCCAGCCAUGGUGCACCAGCUGCUAGGCGUCAGGCACCAGCUGCUAGGCGUCAGGCUAAGGAGGCGUACAUGUGGGGCGGGAGGCGCGGCGUGGCGACGGCGACGAGCGGCGUGGCCUUGGGCAUGGUCAUGCCGUAGACCUCCCGGGUGUCGACGUCCUCGGGUCGGA